UAUCCGAUCGACAAAAAGAAAGAAAGAACGAAACAAAAACAAGGGGGCCACCGGCGUCAAACAAAUCUUGGAGAGAGAAGCGACUUUUUAAGUCAAGAAUUUCUCUCUCUCUUUUUU
rnacentral:ribozyme from 1 species